rnacentral:snRNA from 1 species
GUGCUUGCUUCGGCGGCACAUAUACUAAAAUUGGAACGAUACAGAGAAGAUUAGCAUGGAUGACAUCCAAAUUCUUGAAGCGUUCCAUAUUAAA